rnacentral:rRNA from 1 species
UACGGAGGGUGCAAGCGUUGUCCGGAAUCACUGGGCGUAAAGGGCGCGUAGGCGGCCCGGUAAGUAGGGGGUGAAAUCCUGCGGCUUAACCGCAGGGCUGCCUUCUAAACUGUCGGGCUCGAGCACGGUAGAGGCAGAUGGAAUUCCCGGUGUAGCGGUGGAAUGCGUAGAGAUCGGGAAGAACAUCAGUGGCGAAGGCGGUCUGCUGGGCCGUUGCUGACGCUGAGGCGCGAACG